CCACAAACAGACAUCCACAAACAGACAUCCAGACAUACAGACAUCCACAAACAGACAUCCAGACAUACACAGACAUCCACAAACAGACAUCCACAAACAGACAUCCACAAACAGACAUCCACAAACAGACAUCCACCAACACACAUCCACAAACACACAUCCACAGACAUCCACACAUCCACAGACAUCCACACAUCCACAAACAGA